UGCGCCAGCUUCUCAAAGUCAAUCCUUUGCUUUCCGAUAUGAAAUCCGAAGCCGUCCGGGAGCGACAUUGGCAAAAGAUCUUUAAAGUUCUUAAACCAGGCAAACGGUUCUCCCAAAUCUCACUCACCCUUGGUGACGUUUGGGAUCUGCAGCUGGCUGCCAGCGAAUCUGUUAUUCGUGAUAUUAUCGCCCAAGCCCAAGGUGAAAUGGCCUUGGAAGAAUUCUUAAAAAUGGUCCGCGAAACAUGGCAAAAUUAUUCUCUCGACCUUGUGAACUACCAGAACAAAUGCCGCUUGAUCAAGGGCUUCGAUGACCUGUUCGCUAAAUGCAGCGAGAACCUCAACUCUCUUCAAGCAAUGAAGCAUUCACCUUAUUACAAAGAAUUUGAGGAAGACGCUAGUUCUUGGGAGGAUAAACUAAACAGAGUUCACGUUCUCUUCGAUGUCUGGAUUGACGUUCAGCGACAAUGGGUAUAUCUUGAGGGCGUUUUCACUGGAAAUGCGGAUAUCAAGCACUUGCUUCCUGUCGAAUCUGGCCGAUUCCAAAAUAUCAAUUCCGAAUUUUUCGCUGUCAUGAAGAAGGUCUAUAAGUCCCCCUUCGUUUUAGACAUUCUUGCUAUUGCUGGAGUUCAAAAAUCCCUCGAGCGAUUGGCGGAGCUUCUUCACAAAAUCCAAAAAGCCCU
rnacentral:sRNA from 2 species